rnacentral:lncRNA from 1 species
UAAUCCUAAGAGAGUAAGAAAAAAAUUAGCCCUAAUGUGCCUCUAUCAAGGACUGGCUGAAAACUUGCUUAGCCUAACACCCUAUAUAGGUCCAUCUAAUAUAUAUUGCACUUGCAUAACAUCAACAUAAGACCCAUAAAGUUAGUGCGGCACAUAAGGCCUAAAACUAUAUCUAAACAACUAAACUAGCAAUACUUAAGCAAAUAAGAUAGCAUAAGUUUAAUAUAAACAAAUGGGCUUACAAAAUAUAUCAUUAAGGUCCAAACAACAUGUAUAAUACGUCCUCCAAGACUACCCAUGAGUUGUGCACAUGCCCUGCACAUACUCUUUAAGUUGCAAAUACAUAGCACAAUUUUUUUCAAAUCUGCCCACUUGAUUUGAUAGACUUAUACACCUUCUAAUUAGGCCCAAUAGACUUAAAUUUUCACAAAAUCUUUCCUUAAUUUUCACUUUAAACUUUCUUUUGUGUAGUUUUAGCCCGUAUAUUUGAUUAUUCUCCUUAAUCCCACAAUUGUAAGUAUUGCAUUAAAUUUGCCCCAUAUGAAUUGAAUCAUGCCCCAAGUGUAUUUAAAUUAUAUAAAUAUGAUUUUUGAACUAUUUUUAGACCCAUUUGAAUAAUAUAAGGUUGCUCCAUACCAUUGUUGCAAAUAUCCUAUAUCAUUCCCUCCUUUUUUAGAAAAGAUUCACCCUCGAAUAUUGCUCAUGUUCAUAAAAGGAAUGGAAGUUUUAGGAACCAAUACAUCUUCAAAUACUUCAUCUUGAAUAGGUUGAAAUAGCAUGAAACUCUCUUCAUGGAUAUUCUCAUCAACAACCUGUAUAUCAAGAACAAAAGAAUUAGGUAUAACAAUGUUACUCAUAGAAAUAUCAUGUGAAUGUGACCCAUUCUCCUUUACAAUUUCCAAAACAACCCAUUUGCCUCCUUCACCUAAUCAAUCAUGUCCUCCCAUGUCCACCAUAAUUUACAGCCUCUUCUUUAAGCUCAUUGAUGGAAUUUUCAGCAACAAUGUCACUAACUUCAUGAAUUACAACUUUCUCUUCAAUUUCAAUCUCUAUGAAAGUUGAAAUUGAAAUUUUAGCAUCUUCUUUCUCCUUUUCUUUUUUCAUCCUCCUCUUUCUUACCUCCUCUCUUUUUAUCAACAAACCUCUUUAUCUCUAACUUUGUUUCACGUAAAUUUUCUUCAUAAUCAUGAAGCUCCUUGUAGAAAUAUAAUAUUUUGAUGUUGUUGUAUUUCAUAAUAAAAAAUACAACCUAUUUAUAUAUAAAAGACGGUAUCUAAACAGGAAAGAAAAUCAAGUCUAUGAUUAUACAAUCCCUAAGAUUAAGCAACUAACUCAUCUAUCAAUAUUUACUUCCUAUAUUAAUAUAUUUACUUCGUAUAAUCUAUAACAGUCCCCUCCAAGUUGGAGCAUAAAUGUUAAUCAUGCCCAACUUGUUACAUAUAUAAUCAACUUGUCACAUACAACUUAGCAGACACCGAAUUUGUGAACCCAACUUCUUCCAAUAAUUGACGUACCCACAAAACUUCACAAACGGCUUUUGCCAUGACUCAACAUUCAGGUUCAGCACUAGAACGGGAGACCACAUUUUCUCAGCUUGGUAAAACGUCUUACACACAUCAUAAAUACGAGAAAUAUUCCCUUUGCCAGAAUAUAGAAAUUACAAACACUCUAUUAAUUCUUUAACAAAUUCAGAAUGAUUAAUAAGACUAAUCACCUUACUGUGAAUAGAAUUUUGAAUCCUUGAACAGUCAUGACUCGUUAACAAUACUCGAUGAAUCGUGAACAAUACCUGAUGAACAGAGCCCUAAAUCUCUAAAUAUUACCUUUUAUUAGUAACUCAAAUGAACAGAGCUUUAAAUCUCCAAAUGUUACCCUUUAUGAGUAACCCAAAUGAACAGAGCCUUGAGUCUCCCAAUGUUACCCUUCUAUGGGUAACCCAAAUGAACAGAACUCUAAGUCUCCAAAUAUUACCCUUUUAUGGGUAACCCAAAUAAACAGAGCUCUAAGUCUCCAAAAAUUAUUCUUUAUGGGUAACCCAAAUGAAUGGUAUCAAAAAAAGCCUCCACCCAACACCCAAACGAACUGCAAAUCUGAUAAGAGAGCUGCAAGGCGACUUUGGCAUCCUCUUUAGGUGAACAGUGAGAUACAAAUAUUAUCCUAGAUAGAUAAUACAAAAGAACAGGAGUCCUAAGUCUCCAAAAAUUUAAGACUUGACGAGAGAGAAAAAUAAAUCUCUACGAACCUGGCUCUGAUACCAUGUAGAAAUAUAAUAUUUUAAUGUUGUUGUAUUUCAUAAUAAAAAUUAUGACCUAUUUAUAUAUAAAACCAGGUAUCUAAACAGGAAAGAAAAUCAAGUCUAUGAUUAUACAAUCC